rnacentral:misc_RNA from 1 species
GAAAUGCGAUAAGUAAUGUGAAUUGCAGAAUUCAGUGAAUCAUCGAAUCUUUGAACGCACAUUGCGCCCGCCAGUACUCUGGCGGGCAUGCCUGUUCGAGCGUCAUUUCAACCCUCAGGCCCCGCCUGGUGUUGGGGCCCUACGGCUGCCGUAGGCCCUGAAAGGAAGUGGCGGGCUCGCUGCAACUCCGAGCGUAGUAAUUCUUUUUCUCGCUAGGGAAGGGUGGCGUGCUCCUGCCGUUAAAGACCCCAUCUUUAACCAAAGGUUGACCUCGGAUCAGGUAGGAAUACCCGCUGAACUUAA